rnacentral:rRNA from 1 species
GUAAUCAAAACCAAUCCUGAACAUUGGAGAAGGGCUUUUUUUCAACUUGGCUCAUAUUGUGAUUCUGUAGAAAACAAUAUGUGUGAGUCCUUCAACAACUCCAUCAUGAGAGCAAGAUUUUAUCCUGUUAUUACUAGUCAUGAGAUCAACAAAAAGGUCAUGGCUAGAAUUCAAGAUAACGGAGCAAAGCCUACAAAGUGGAGUGGAACUAUAUGCCCUAAUGUGUUCAAGAAGCUUCAGCUCAACAUAAAGAGAUCAGGAAGAUGCAGAGUGUUGUGGAAUGGCAAAGAUGGCUUUGAAGUGCAAGAAGGUUAG